AAGACAAGUCCAGAAGUGAGCAUGAAUUCAGCAAAACGUGACGAAUUCACACCAUGAGAGAAAUUGCGCUUGAAGUCAAUCCCUUGGCGGCAGAGCAUGUCAAUUGAGUCUUGAUUGUAAAGGUCAUGCUCAAAAUCAAAAUCGCAAAAGUUGAACUCCCAUAUGUAGCGGUUAUUUGUACCAAAAUGAGGAAGGUUGCCGUUACCAUUAGAUAGGGUGAUACCAACUUGGAUGAGUUUAAGAGCAUCAACAUUGACCUUCAAGUAACGAUAGUGGUCAGAGGGUUUAAGAUUACAGCGGUCAACUUUGGGUGAAUAAAUUACGCCGGGAAAUUCGGUAUCCAUGGAGAUGAAAGGAUAUUGAUUGACAACUUGACGGAUGAGAUCAAAUUCAACCUCUAAAUUGGAUGCCCAAACUUGACGGAUGAUGAUUGGCUUUUCCUUCAGCUGGUUCAUUUUAAAUUGAUCUCGAUUCAAGUCUUAAUUUUGAAGACAAAGAAGUAUAAAGAAAGAAGGCUCUGGAAAUCAAGUUUGUGUAUGAUUAUGAGAAGAGAAUAGAUAUUUAGGGAGAGUUUUAUAUUAAGAAGAGUAAACAAACACACACGGCAGAGAUAUUGCUUGGAAAGUGGUAACGUAUGUGUUAAUUAAAGACGUGUGUUAUUUGUUAAUACAUGACAUGAGUGUGUCUUUUUUGGUGGCUUUGUUUCAUUCAACAAAUCAGGUCAGUAUUACUAUUCAGUGUUAAGUGGGAUGAAUGGGAAGUCAAGUGCGGCGUCCAAGUUCAAUGGGUCCACAACAAACUAUAACGGACGGCUUCAACUAUCUGUCGGUUUUCUUUGUUUAAUUUUUUUUUUUUUUUUUUUGCAUUUCUUUGAUUAAAUAUUUGAUUUUACUUUUGUUUUAUUUUUUGAUUCAAAAUUUACUUUUAUAACCCACUUGGGUUGGCAUGGUGAUAUUGAUUUAGGAUCUUAGAGUGUGCUCCUCUUCAAGGUUUUAGGUUCCAUUCUCUCCGGUGCCAAUUUAGGUGGGCUAGUUUAACUUCUUAAAAAAAAUUACUUUUAUAAACAAAAUUAUAUUGAUUUUGAGGAAUCAAAGUACAAAAAGAUUUGAUUUUAUUGAACAAUUUUCAAUACUUUAUCGAAUCAAAAUAUAAAAAGAUUUGAUUUGAUUGAACGAACUAGUGUCAAAAGUAUUGACAGCUAAGUCGGCCAUAGUCAGUGUUAGAUGUGCUUUGAAAUUUUACAUUCAGUUUUGCCUAUCUCAUGACGCGGAGGAAUGACUCGCGGCACGUAACUCGAAGAAUUGCAGGAUGUCCAACCACUAUCUAUCUCGCAAUGCGGAGGAAAAGACUCGCGACGGGGAGACACAGUUUUUUUUUCUUGUUUUCUUGGUCAUCAAGUUUUAAGGGCUGGACGAACUCUAUAAAUACAAGGCUCAUGUUUUUGGGUUUUGUUGAGAGAGAGUGGAAAGAUGUGAAUCUUAGGGAACCAAGAGAGGAGAUUCUUGGAAAAAGGUUAGUGCCUUUUGGGUAGGGAUUCAUGGGGGUGGAAACACAUGAUAGGAGAGAUUAAGGCAAACUAGAGUUUAUUAAAAGAGGAGAUCAUUAGGAAGUCAAAGGCUAAUGAUUAGUUCUUUUUAAGAUAGAAAUUAGGGUAGGAAAAUAAUUGUAACAACUUAGGUAGAGAAAUCAUUGAGUGUCUUGGUCAUGGGAAGAGAUUCGGGAAAAUUAUAUAAAUUAGGGUUUGCUUUUAAAGCCAGUUGAAGACUAAUUUCUUGUAACCCUUGUAACUCUUUGUAAAGAACUCUUUGAUAGUGAAUUAGAGUGUUGCUCUCUCAGCGAUAAAAGUUCAAUUUGAACUAAACUUGGUAACCAAAAAAAAUUGGUGUAUUGUCCCUAUUCUCUACUACUCUUUUAUCUUGGUGUUCUUCUAUUCAAUUAUGGUCUUACAUUACACUCUUAUUAUUCCUUGCGAUCUAUUUGGUUAUUGGUUGUCGAUGAACCCUUGCUCCACGCAUAAAGUAUUGGUGUGAGUCUAAUCGAAUUCACAACAAUUUGGAAUAUUUGCCUUCUUGGGGUACUUGUUGAUGACUCGAUGUCCUUCUAGGUGAUAUUUGGGUGGGUGGGGGGUCAUUCAUCCCUGCCACAACAAUACCCUAUGUUAUACUUGGUCUAUUGGAACAUGAUUAUGCAGAGAGAAAUCUUAGUCACCAGGAAGAAGAUGGGUCUUAUUGUAUUGGAAAAACAUAUGUGUAUUAUCAAAUAUUGGCACUAUAUUUUGUCGAUGAUAGUUGGUCUUGGGGAACAUGAUUCAAGUGGCUAGUACUUGGUUCGUUCAACCUAUGUUACUUUAUCGAUCGAGGUUCUCUUUGUGCAGGAUAUCCAAUUUCUUAGGUCGUUCAUAUUUAGUCGACCUAACAAUAUUUCUUAAGUCGACUCAAAAUCUGACAUAACAUGUCAAAACCCGUUAUGUCACCUACUAUUAGGUAAGGCAAGAAACUGACUUAAAAGUCCUUUUCAUCUGACUUAAAAAGGGUUUUUUGCACUAGUGAUGGACUUGUGACAUCAUGUGUUCACUAUGAACUUGUAAUGCUUGAGAAUAACGAGUGGCACCCUGUUUGCACAGAAAAAAUAUGUUUUGAUGAUGAGAAUAAUUCUUCAAAAGAUGUAAAUAAUCAAAGAAUGUAUAUAUUUAUAAUAUAGAAAUUUUUGUUACAACUUUCUUGUAUACAACUCAUUAAGUUGCAAUUUCUAAUCCAAAUAGUACCCCAGCGUGUUUUUGAGCCUCAUUAUUCAUAAAAUAAGUAUCCAUCAUUUUCUUAAAUGCAUGCCACGUCAACAAACUAUCUGAUCCAGCUUGAUGAGACUUUCCAGCAACCCGACCCACGUUAAGUGUUGUAGCGACUCGCUCGAGACCACCAUACAAAGCGUUGCAAAACCUCAUCAUAUGUUUCAUAUCGUAAACAUUUUUUCCAAACAAUAUUGUUAAAAUAUUUAAGAAGUCCUCUAAGCGGUUCGGCAAAUUCCUUCGAGUCAAGAUCUUGACCAAAUACCCAAAAUCAUAAGCACUGUGAAAUGUGACCCAAACAACUGAUUUGUUGAAGACAAGUCCAGAAGUGAGCAUGAAUUCAGCAAAACGUGAUGAAUCAACACCAUGACAUAAAUUGCGCUUGAAGUCAAUCCCUUGGCGGCAGAGCAUGUCAAUUGAAUCUUGGUUGUAAAGGUCACGCUCGAAGUCAAAAUCACAAAAGUUAAAUUCCCAUAUGUAAGAGUUAUUUGUACCAAAAUGAGGAAGGUUACCGUUACCAUCAGAAAGGGUGAUACCAACUUGGAUGAGUUUAAGAGCAUCAACGUUGACCUUCAAGUAACGAUAGUGGUCAGAGGGUUUAAGAAGGCGGCGAUCAACGUUGGGUGAAUAAAUCACACCAGGAAAUUCAGUGUCCA
rnacentral:lncRNA from 1 species